AGUCUGCUGGUGCAAAGAUUUCUGCAGCAGGGGCAGAUAUGACAGCAAGUGCUUCAGCUGGUGCAGAAGUAGGUGAAUUUGCUGGUGCAGAAAAAUCAGCAGGUGUAGCAACAGCUCUGUGAGAUGGUGUUGCUGAUGAAGAUGCUUUUGAGGCUUGGUUCCUCAAAUUCGCUUGCUUCCUUAAGUGCUUGGCAGUUUUCUCAAUCUCAGGG
rnacentral:lncRNA from 1 species